AUUAAUACUUUUUUGAAUAUAUAUUUUUUUUUGGCACUGUUUAGCUCUUAAAAUACACAUACAUACAGAAGGAGCUCCACCACCAACUUGGCUUUGCCAAAAUGGAGCCUGAAUCUGGACUUCGCGGUCCUUCUAAUCCCUCUCAGCUUUCAUGGGUUAACCUCUCCAGGAAUCUAAUAUUAGCAUACCAAAGCUUUGGUGUAGUAUAUGGAGACCUGAGUACUUCACCUCUCUAUGUUUAUACAAGCACAUUUAUUGGGAAAUUGCAGAAGUAUCAGAAUGAGGAAGCUAUAUUUGGUGCAUUUUCUUUGAUUUUCUGGACCUUUACAUUGAUACCUUUGAUCAAGUAUGUCUUUAUCCUAUUGGGUGCAGAUGAUAAUGGUGAAGGUGGCACAUUUGCUCUCUAUUCACUGCUUUGCAGGCAUGCAAAGUUUAGUUUACUUCCCAAUCAACAGGCAGCUGAUGAGGAGCUGUCAGCCUAUAAAUAUGGUCCAACAGCACAGGUUACAAGCACCUCUGCACUGAAGAGAUUUCUGGAGAAGCACAAAAAGCUACGGACUGCCCUCCUUGUUGUUGUAUUAUUUGGUGCUUGCAUGGUUAUUGGAGAUGGUGUGCUUACUCCAGCAAUAUCAGUUUUAUCAUCAGUAUCAGGUCUAGAAGUUUAUGAAAGUAAAUUAACAAAGGGUGAAGUCCUCUUGCUUGCAUGUGUCAUUUUGGUGGGCCUGUUUGCUCUUCAACAUUGUGGCACUCACAGGGUAGCUUUUAUGUUUGCGCCAAUUGUAAUUAUCUGGUUGUUAUCGAUAUUUUCCAUUGGGUUUUAUAACAUUAUAUACUGGAACCCAAAGAUUGUUCGUGCUAUUUCUCCCCUUUACAUCAUCAAGUUCUUUGGUCAGACUGGUAAAGAUGGUUGGAUUUCUCUUGGAGGGAUCCUUCUUUCAAUAACUGGUAUGUUUGCUCUGGACAUUGUUGAAAUAUUUACUAGACUUCCAUGAUUUGUGCUUAUUUAUUGCAUUCGAUUGUAUGUGCACACUUCAUUUAUUUGCAUUGAUGAAAUUUUACUAUGUAUACUGAUUCAUUGCAUGUGAUUUUUUGGCCACAUCUUCGUGAAUUUCGUUUAGUUAAAGUGGUGUUUUGAUUCAAUCAAAAACUGCUGAGUUCUCCAAACAUAAAAUAUCUGAUUCAAUUUUAUACGUUGCCUGUUUUAGCAUUGAAUGCUAAAAAUUUUCUGGAACUCACCAGGCACUGAAGCUAUGUUCGCCGACCUUGGUCAUUUUACUGCCACAUCUAUUAGGAUUGCGUUUGCAUUUGUUAUAUACCCUUGUUUGGUGGUACAAUAUAUGGGUCAAGCUGCAUUUCUAUCUAGAAACCUCAACUCCAUUGAACAUAGUUUCUAUAACUCAAUACCUGGUAUUUUAUGACAUUGACUAGUAUUACUUCCAGGAAUCUGCUUCCAUAUUGGACUUGGUUUAAUUUUGAGUUUUUGACAUCUAUCUGUAUGUUGCAGAACCUGUGUUUUGGCCUGUCUUUGCUAUUGCAACCCUUGCAGCUAUUGUUGGGAGUCAGGCAGUCAUUACUGCCACUUUCUCAAUUGUUAAACAGUGCAAUGCCCUUGGUUGUUUUCCACGAGUUAAAGUUGUCCACACCUCAAAACGCAUAUAUGGGCAAAUUUACAUCCCUGAAAUAAAUUGGAUUCUCAUGGUCCUUACUCUUGCCGUAACUCUUGGAUUUCAAGACACAACUCUCAUUGGAAAUGCUUAUGGACUUGCUUGUAUGUCAGUUAUGAUCAUCACAACAUUUCUCAUGUCUCUUGUAAUAAUCUUCAUUUGGCAGAAAAGCAUCUUACUGGCUGCCUCUUUCCUGCUAUUUUUCUGGUUCAUUGAGGGUUUCUACCUUUCAGCAGCCCUCAUGAAGGUGCCCCAGGGGGGUUGGGCUCCUAUUGUGCUCUCAGUCAUCUUUAUGCUUGUUAUGUACAUCUGGCAUUAUGGGACUCGUAGGAAGUACAACUUUGAUCUGCACAACAAAGUAUCUUUAAAAUGGUUACUGGGCUUGGGUCCCAGCCUUGGCAUUGUCCGUGUGCCAGGGAUAGGCCUCAUAUACUCGGAAUUGGCAACUGGAGUACCUGCAAUCUUUUCCCAUUUUGUAACGAACCUUCCUGCAUUUCACAAGGUUCUAGUUUUUGUUUGUGUAAAAUCAGUCCCUGUUCCAUACGUUUCCCCUGAAGAACGCUUCCUCAUUGGCCGAGUAUGUCCAAGGCCAUAUCGCAUGUAUAGGUGCAUUGUGAGGUAUGGGUACAAGGAUAUCCAGAGGGAUGAUGGAGAUUUUGAGAACAUGCUUAUACAAAGCAUAGCAGAGUUCAUCCAGAUGGAAGCAGUAGAACCUCAAUUCUCUAGUUCUGAGAGUCCAUCACUUGAUGGCAGGAUGGCAGUGAUGAGCACCAGAUCUAUCCAGUCAAGCUUGAGUCUAAUAGUAACUGAGGAAGAUAUUGUUGGUUUUGAUGACUCUAUCCAAAGCAGUAAAUCUCUAACCCUCCAGAGCCUGCGAUCUGCUUAUGAUGAUGAUAAUCCGCAGAUCAGGAGGCGCCAAGUGAGGUUUAUGUUGCCACAAAAUCCUUCGAUGGAUCCUUCAGUUAGAGAAGAGCUGAUGGAUUUAAUCCAGGCAAAGGAAGCAGGUGUUGCAUAUAUAAUGGGGCACUCAUAUGUGAAGGCUAGGAGAACUUCCUCAUUUUUGAAGAAGGUAGCUAUUGAUAUUGGGUAUUCAUUCCUUCGGAAGAACUGCAGGGGGCCGGCUGUGGCACUUAACAUUCCUCACAUCAGCCUUAUUGAAGUUGGUAUGAUAUACUAUGUCUAGCUAUUUGGAGUUCAUCAUGCAUUGUCCAUAAACGCAUCACAUUUUGAACAGUCAAGGGUGGGCUAAUGCCUUGCUUGUUGCAGUAGAACAAUUAUGAAACACAAAGUUCAUGGGUUGUUUUGGUGCAUAUGUUUCUAGAAACAUCUUCUCUUUUUUCUAUUGUUCCUCUUCUUUCCCAUAUGUAGAUAACGUUCUUCUGCAGUUUUUACCUUCAUUUGAUGCAUUGUUUAGGCUUUUCACAUGGUCAGUUAUUGGAAAAAAAAAAUAAAAUAAAAAGAAGGAUAAUGGAUAAACAAAUUUCAGUUCUGAAUUGGUCGCUUUACGCAUUGCCAUUUCCUGUGCCCCUUCUCAGUAACGCUUACUUAUUUCUUAUCUUUAUGGAGUAUGGUUGCUAUCCUAGCAGGCCCAUGGCCCAAAACAGAAAGGGUUUCUAGGAAGCACCCUGCAGCCUACCCUACCAAAUAACAGGCCCUCUGGGCCCAACACAAAAGCCUUAGUCUAUUCGGAUUCAGCAAUCCAAAAAGGGGAUCGGAUUGAGGAGCAGCCACUCAACAAACCUCUCCAAAUGGCAGCGAAACUCGUCAGAAAGCAUACCAUACGGAGAGCCAUCAAGGAUCGGCCAAUGUUUUGCAUCUCAUGAGAAAUGAUAGAAACCAAGUGGAAACAAACAAACAUCAAAACAUCUAUCUGAAAUUCGUUAACAACAAAAUACAUUAUUUUUUAGCUUUAUUUAUACAAUUUUUAUUUAUUAUUAUUUACUUAUUCCCAAUGCUCUUAUAUUAUUU
rnacentral:misc_RNA from 1 species